GUCCUAGUAACAUGAAUAAAGAAGAAAUCUGUAAUCUAUUUCUUAUUAUUUUGUUAAUGUGUACACACUUCUAAUAUUAAUUGUUUUCUGACUUGAUUACUUUUUAGAAUGAAGUGCUGCCACUAAACAAAGGGCUGACUAAAGCACAGCUUGUUGACUGGAUCUUCCUUGUUGAUUCCCUCAACUUUAACUUCUGGACACCUCAUGGAGUCCCCAAAUACACUGUUGUGUAUGAAGGAAAGGGGCCAUGCCAUAGUUCUACACCUUUGAAGGCAGUGUCAGUGCCGUAGUGUUACAUCUUGAGCUCACAUCACUUAGAUAAGCUGUGAGUGGUAAAUUUGGGCCUAGAUAUGAGAGAGUGGUCUAUGUGGUAAGUGUGCACCUUAUAAAAAAAUCCUGCAGCACACAAUGUAUAAUGAAAAAUAACCUGUGACCGUGUUUUUGGUUUAAAACAGCGACUUUGUGGUGUAUUUUAGUGUAGUUUUUAUGGGUGUAUUCAAUGUUUCUUGGUCUCAUUUGAUAGAGUGGAAGAUAUAUUACAGAAAUAGAGAUGAUUUUGCUUGGUUUAGGACUGAAAAUAGCUUGAAAUUGAGCUUAAAGUAGCAGAAAUGUUUGAAUUUUGCCGAUGUUCAAGAGUAAACAAAUCACAUCACUUAAUACAUGUCAACUGGUGGGUCUGAUAUGUGUUCACAAAUAAUAUUUGCACAAUUAUUACAAUAUUGCAUAACAGUAAAGCUUCUAUUUUUUGGUGUGAACAAAAUUUUGUGAGAAUAAAAAAUAAAAAUGAAAUUAAUGUGUAAAGCCUGGAAACUUAACUAAUGAACAGAGGAAAUGUUAUUUUAGUGCUAGGAAUGCCUGCAUUGUUUUUUCUGGAACCCUAUUUUGAAAUUUGUGAAAUUGGCCAAAUUAGCAGUUUUUGAUCACUUUAUUGGGUAGUUGAUUGGGUGGUUUCUUGUGCUCAAUCUAUAAAGUGGAAGGCAUACUAGUGAAAUAGCUAACUAUUUGGUAGACUGGAAGAAUGUAAUUGGUCUUAAAUAGGAUUCAAAGUGGGCAAAAUCACCGAUGCAUAAAUAUCACUGAUGUAAAAGAAUUUGCAUAAGCAUAAUUUUGUCACUUUUCAUACUGUGUUUUUUUGCCUUCAGAAAAAGAUUCUCUACCAUUUCAUAAGAAAAAAUAAAAAAUUUUUUUUUUUAAUUUUUGGACCCCUGUGGAUAAGUUUCUGAUCAGGGGUCUGGGCCCUGAAAGGGUUAAUCAGUGCACUGUAUUUUAACUUUUACAUAUUAGUAUUUGUGUUGCUCAUUUAAAAUUGUGGCUUUUAUUGUUUGUUACUUUUAUCUUUAUUUUUCUUGAGUGUGUGUUUUGUAUUCCAUACUUCUGGCAUGUAAGGCAUCUUUUUUUCCUCAAAGAGAAUCUCAGAAAAUCACUCUGUGUCUUGUAUUAUUAAGGUGAGGAACAAAGGUAGGCUUUGGUUACUGGCAAGUUCUGGUUUUGGUGCUGCAGUACUGUUAUACUGAACUCCAAACAACCCUCAUACAAAACUGUUUGCCAGAUUACUUUAGAGUGAUUAGUAACUACAGUAGACCCCCGGUUUUCAUAAUCCGUUUCAGAAGGUUGGCCUAAAUCUGAAAUGGCCAAACACUGAAGUAACAUUUCCCAUAAGAAAUAAUGUAAAUCCAAUUAAUCCAUUUCAGACACCCAAAAAUAUUAACAAAAAUUACAUUUAUAGAGAAUAACUAUAGUUUUACUUACAGAAUAAAAUGACUAAUAUAACUGAAUAUAACUGAAUAUGACUGAAUAUGACUGAAUAUAAAUGACUAAUUUUAAUGAUAAACAUUACAUACCCUUAUUGAAGACUCUUGUUGGUAAGUAGUACACCUACCAUCCGACUUACGACCUGCUCGACAUACGUCCACUCGACUUACGACCACUCGACUUACGACCGUGCAUCUGGCAGCUGGGCUGGGCCGGCUGAUGCACACCACUGUACAAUAUUUGACAAUACUCGCGGUGGCAAAUGCGUCAUGCAGGCAGCAUCAGUUUGAGUAACCCUGCCCUAUCAGCAGCAUCAUACUGUAUUAACUGUACUAACUGGACAGUAAAUUUCACCAUGGCCCCUGAGAUGAAGUCUGAAUCUUGCACUGGAGAUUGUGGCAAGAAAGGCUCUUACUCUCCAACUCUCUAUUUGUUUUCACUGUUGCACAUAAACCUGUCUGUAUCUGUCUGCCUGUAUAUCUGUGUCUGUCUGUAUCUCUGUGCAUCUGUUUGUCUGUCUACAUGUGUGUCUGUCUUUCUGUCUACCUGUGUGUCUGUCUUUAUGUCUACCAGUGUGUCUGUCUACCUGUGUAUCUGUCUGUCUACCUGUGUGUCUGUCUUUCUGUCUACCUGUGUGUGUCUUUGUCUACCUGUGUCUGUCUUUCUGUCUACCUGUGUGUCUGUCUUUCUGUCUGCUUGUCUGUCUCAGAGACACUCAUUAAGAGUGUAAUUGGUCUUGAUGCCAUAUUAAUAAUGAUGGUAACAUAAUAAUAUGUAAUUGGUCUUGAAGACGCCUUAUUAAUAAUGAUAACACAAUAAUAAUUACUGAGGCACAUUAAAUGUGUAUAAAGCGUUAA